UUUCGUUCUCAAAUCAGGCGAGACUACCCGCUGAACUUAAGCAUAUCACUAAGCGGAGGAAAAGAAACUAACAAGGAUUCCCCUAGUAACGGCGAGUGAACAGGGAAGAGCUCAAGCCCAAAUCUUCGGAAUUGUAGUCUAUAGGUGGUAUCUUGUACAUCCCCGGGUAGAAAUCCGUUCUUGGAACUGGGUGCCAGAGAGGGUUAGAGCCCCGUCUUUGACUCGGUCGGAUGUGCGUGAUAAGGUGCUGCCAGAGAGUCGGCUUGCUUGGGAAUGCAGGCCAAAGUGGGUGGUAAACUCCAUCUAAAGCUAAAUAUUGGCGAGAGACCGAUAGCGAACAAGUACUGUGAAGGAAAGAUGGAAAGAACUUUGAAAAGAGAGUGAAAAAGGGCUUGAAAUUGUUGAGAGGAGAAGUGAUUGGAGCCUAUCCUGCGCGGCGGGAUCCUAGGGCUGGAGCUUGCUCCAACCUGCACCAUGCCGUCGCGCUGGCCAGCAUCGGUUUUCUGUGGGGGAAAAGGCUCGGAGGGCGGGUGGGUAACACCAUUUGGCUCCGAGCGUAUUACCCGUGGGGGACCGAGGCACUAAGAGCGCGCCUAGCGGCCGGCCCAUUGUGCGGCCCUGGCUUCGGAGUGCACACUUCGGUGUUCGCUUCAAGCAGGGGGUUCGAUGCAGUGGAGCGCUGGACCUGCGUUCUGAAGAUGCUGGCACAAUGGCUUCAACCAGCCCGUCUUGAAACACGGACCAAGGAGUCUAACACAUAUGCGAGUAGUAAGGUGGCAAACCUUGGAUGCGAAAUGAAAGUGAACGUAGGUGGGAUCCCUCACGGGUGCACCAUCGACCGACCAGGAUCUAUUGUGAAAGGUUUGAGUAAGAGCAUAUUUGUUGGGACCCGAAAGAUGGUGAACUAUGCCUGAAUAGGGUGAAGCCAGAGGAAACUCUGGUGGAGGCUCGUAGCGGUACUGACGUGCAAAUCGUUCGUCAAAUUUGGGUAUAGGGGCGAAAGACUAAUCGAACCAUCUAGUAGCUGGUUCCCUCCGAAGUUUCCCUCAGGAUAGCUGGAGCUCGCACAAGUUUUAUCAGGUAAAGCGAAUGAUUAGAGGCCUCGGGGGUGUACAUCCUCGACCUAUUCUCAAACUUUA
rnacentral:rRNA from 1 species